GAUGAAGAACCGCAGCGAAAUGCGAUACGUAAUGUGAAUUGCAGAAUUCAGUGAAUCAUCGAGUCUUUGAACGCACAUUGCGCCCCCUGGUAUUCCGGGGGGCAUGCCUGUCCGAGCGUCAUUGCUGCCCUCAAGCACGGCUUGUGUGUUGGGCCUCCGUCCUCCUCCCGGGGGACGGGCCCGAAAGGCAGCGGCGGCACCGCGUCCGGUCCUCGAGCGUAUGGGGCUUUGUCACCCGCUCGAUUAGGGCCGGCCGGGCGCCAGCCGGCGUCUCCAACCUUCUAUUUUACCAGGUUGACCUCGGAUCAGGUAGGGAUACCCGCUGAACUUAAGCAUAUCAAAAGCGGAGGA
rnacentral:misc_RNA from 1 species